rnacentral:rRNA from 1 species
CCUACGGGAGGCAGCAGUGAGGAAUAUUGGUCAAUGGACGAGAGUCUGAACCAGCCAAGUAGCGUGAAGGAUGACUGCCCUAUGGGUUGUAAACUUCUUUUAUAAAGGAAUAAAACGAGGCAAGUGUGCCUGUUUGCAUGUACUUUAUGAAUAAGGAUCGGCUAACUACGUGCCAGCAGCCGCGGUAAUAAGGAGGAUCCGAGCGUUAUCCGGAUGUAUUGGGUUUAAAGGGAGCGUAGAUGGGUUGUUAAGUCAGUUGUGAAAGUUUGCGGCUCAACCGUAAAAUUGCAAUUGAUACUGGCAGUCUUGAGUACAGUUGAGGUAGGCGGAAUUCGUGGUGUAGCGGUGAAAUGCUUAGAUAUCACGAAGAACCCCGAUUGCGAAGGCAGCUUACUAAACUGUGACUGACAUUGAUGCUCGAAAGUGUGGGUAUCAAACAGGAUUAGAUACCCGGGUAGUC